rnacentral:rRNA from 1 species
UACGGAGGGUGCAAGCGUUAAUCGGAAUUACGUGGCGAUAAGCGCGCGUAGGUGGUUUGAUAAGCGAGAUGUGAAAGCCCCCGGGCUUAACCUGGGGAAACGGCAUUUCGAACUGUCAGGCUAGAGUAUGGUAGAGGAGUGUGGAAUUUCCUGUGUAGCGGUGAAAUGCGUAGAUAUAGGAAGGAACACCAGUGGCGAAGGCGGCACUCUGGACCAAUACUGACACUGAGGUGCGAAAGCGUGGGGAGCAAACAGGAUUAGAUACCCGUAGUCC